UGGAAACUUACUAAGUGAUCACUUUCAAAUUCAGAGAAACCCUGGAAUUAACAAAAAUGGGCAAUCCUGAGCCAAAUCCUGUUUUCCGAAAACAAACAAAGAUUCAGAAAAAAAGGAUAGGUGCAGAGACUCAAUGGAAGCUAUUCUAACAAAUGGAGUUAAAUGCGUUGGUAGAGGAAUCUUUACAUCGAAACUUCAGAAAGAAAAAGAAUGAAGUGAAGGAUAAACGUAUAUACAUACGUAUUGAAUACUAUAUCAAAUGAUUAAUGAUGACCUGAAUCCGUAUUUUUUCUAUAAAAAAUAGAAGAAUUGGUGUGAAUCGAUUCUACAUUGAAGAAAGAAUCGAAUAUUCAUUGAUCAAAUCAUUCACUCCAUAGUCUGAUAGAUCUUUUGAAGAACUGAUUAAUCGGACGAGAAUAAAGAUAGAGUCCCGUUCUACAUGUCAAUACCGGCAACAAUGAAAUUUAUAGUAAGAGGAAAAUCCGUCGACUUUAAAAAUCGUGAGGGUUCAAGUCCCUCUAUCCCCAAAAAGACUAUUUCACUCCCCAACUAUUUAUCCGACCCCCU
rnacentral:precursor_RNA from 2 species